ACUGGCGCUUUAUAAUCGAAGA
rnacentral:miRNA from 1 species